GAAGAGGGAGAGGAGAAAAAAAAGACAAAUCAUAGCCACCAAAGCCACAGAUUGGAGAGAAGUGAGUGCGACAUGACAUGAGAGAUGUUACCUUAGGGCAUAAUCGGCACACCCACAUCCCAGAUUUAACUUUACUUUUCCCGAAUCAGCGUGUAGCUCUUAUUGCGCUAAUUUUCGCUCUUCACACCGAGCCAAGCGUCAUUUGCAGGCGGGAACUAAUUGAUAAAUUCAUCGCAGUUUUUAUGCUGGAAAGCAUCCCGAAGACGAAGGGUCUGCAUCUACCAUGAACCCCAGCACAAACCUUCUCGACGAAGCUUUAGGGCUCAUGGCGGCCGGUUACGCCGGCGGUGCUCUUGCGCGGGGGCGUGUCGUUCUGGUGGAAGACUGCGUGGAGACAAGCGGCGCUUUCGUUCUUCAUCACCUUGUCAAGCGUGCUCUCUCCCCUGAACAUGGGGGGUCAGUGCUCUUCCUUGCUCUUUCCCACCCCUUCUCCCACUACGAUCGCAUUCUUCGGAAGCAGGGAUGCAAUCUUUCAAUGCAUAGGCAGCAAAACAGAUUUCAUUUCAUAGAUCUGCUUAAAAUGGAGUUUCCAGAUGAGGCACAGAAAAAUGGCAUAGAAGACGGAUUCGUUGAAUUAUAUUCAAAGAUCUUAAGGGCUGUAGAGGUUAAAUCCUCAGGGGAUGAUAGGAGGGCUCACAUUUCUAUCAUGAUUGAUGACCUGUCGAUUUUGGAGAUUGCAGCUCAUGGUUCUAUGGAUCAUGUAUUAGACUUUCUGCACUAUUGUUUUACCCUUACGUCAGAACAGGAUUGUUCUCUGGUCAUUCUGAAUCAUGAAGAUGUCUAUCUGGAGAUGGAAUCUCCAAGGCUUCUUUCUCAUCUAAUUUACCCAGCAGACUUUAUUAUCAAGGUGGAGCCUCUGGUUACCGGCAUAUCUGCUGAUGUGCAUGGACAGUUGACCAUUUUGAAGAAAGGCGUGUUCAAUGAUGGGCAGUAUACAGACAGAGCUAGCAAUUUUCACAUCCAGGUGAAGGAAAAUGGAGUGGAGUUGUUUUUCCCUGGUAGUCGACGUUAAUUUGAAUUAAAGUUUGGAAGCGUAGUGGAUGAGGCUAAAUUGAUUCAAAGUGAUAGGAGAUUCCAUUGAUGGCCUCGAAAUUGGACAUACACGAACAACUAUUUUUUCCAAUGGGUGGGCGAAACUGAAUCAUUUGUGCAUGAUAUUUUGGGUUUGCCAUGAGCUUAUGAUGAGAUGAUACAGCAGAAUUUUGAUGCCAUUUUACUUGACUUGAAGAUCUUAUGUCAAGUUGUCAUUAUAUCUCUGAUGUAUUUUUGGUUUGCUAAAGCCAUAUGUACAACUGUAAUGUUUCAGAUUUUAAUGUUAUCGUUAUCAUCAUUGUUGUCAUCAUCUAUUGUCCGAGUUGUAUCCAUCAAUGCAC